rnacentral:rRNA from 1 species
GACGAACCGUGCGAACGUUGUUCGGAAUCACUGGGCUUAAAGGGCGCGUAGGCGGGCUGCCAAGUCUGGGGUGAAAUCCCACGGCUCAACCGUGGAACUGCCUCAGAUACUGGCGGCCUCGAGGAGGGUAGGGCAUGCGGAACUAUGCGUGGAGCGGUGAAAUGCGUUGAUAUGCAUAGGAACUCCGGUGGCGAAGGCGGCGUCGCUGGACCCUUUCUGACGUGAGGCGCCG